GAUGAACGCUGGCGGCGUGCUUAACACAUGCAAGUCGAACGGAAAGGCCUCUGCUUGCAGGGGUACUCGAGUGGCGAACGGGUGAGUAACACGUGGGUGAUCUGCCCUGCACUUCGGGAUAAGCCUGGGAAACUGGGUCUAAUACCGGAUAGGACAAUGGUUUGGAUGCUGUUGUGGAAAGUUUUUCGGUGUGGGAUGAGCUCGCGGCCUAUCAGCUUGUUGGUGGGGUAAUGGCCUACCAAGGCGUCGACGGGUAGCCGGCCUGAGAGGGUGUACGGCCACAUUGGGACUGAGAUACGGCCCAGACUCCUACGGGAGGCAGCAGUGGGGAAUAUUGCACAAUGGGCGCAAGCCUGAUGCAGCGACGCCGCGUGGGGGAUGACGGCCUUCGGGUUGUAAACUCCUUUCGCUAGGGACGAAGCGUUUUUGUGACGGUACCUGAAGAAGAAGCACCGGCUAACUACGUG
rnacentral:rRNA from 1 species